rnacentral:rRNA from 1 species
AGGACGAACGCUGGCGGCGUGCUUAACACAUGCAAGUCGAGCGGAAAGGCCACUUCGGUGGUACUCGAGCGGCGAACGGGUGAGUAACACGUGAGUAAUCUGCCCCUGGCUUUGGGAUAGCCACCGGAAACGGUGAUUAAUACCGGAUAUGACCACGUACUGCAUGGUGUGUGGUGGAAAGUUUUUCGGCCAGGGAUGUGCUCGCGGCCUAUCAGCUUGAUGGUGAGGUAAUGGCUCACCAUGGCUUCG